rnacentral:rRNA from 1 species
GGUCUCCGUUGGUGAACCAGCGGAGGGAUCAUUACAGAGUUGCAAAACUCCCAAACCAUUGUGAACAUACCUACCCCGUUGCUUCGGCGGGCGGCCCGGGCCCCGCGCCCGGCGCCCCCCGGCCCCCCGUGGGCGCCCGCCGGAGGUAAAACAAACCCUUGAAUUGCAUGGCCUCUCUGAGUCUUCUGUACUGAAUAAGUCAAAACUUUCAACAACGGAUCUCUUGGUUCUGGCAUCGAUGAAGAACGCAGCGAAAUGCGAUAAGUAAUGUGAAUUGCAGAAUUCAGUGAAUCAUCGAAUCUUUGAACGCACAUUGCGCCCGCCAGUAUUCUGGCGGGCAUGCCUGUUCGAGCGUCAUUUCAACCAUCAAGCCCCCGGCUUGUGUUGGGGACCUGCGGCUGCCGCAGGCCCUGAAAACCAGUGGCGGGCUCGCUGUCACCCCGAGCGUAGUAGUUACAUCUCGCUCUGGGAGUGCUGCGGGUUCCGGCCGUUAAACGCCUUAUUUACCCAAGGUUGACCUCGGAUCAGGUAGGAAGACCCGCUGAACUUAAGCAUAUCAAUAAGCGGAGGAA